GAUGAACGCUGGCGGCGUGCCUAAUACAUGCAAGUCGAGCGAACAGGCCAGGAGCUUGCUCCUCCGACUUUAUCGGCGGACGGGUGAUUAACACGGGGUUAACCUACCUAUAAGACUGGGAUAACAUUGGGAAACCGGAGCUAAUACCGGAUAAUAUAUCGAACCGCAUUGUUCAAUAGUUGAAGUCGGUUUUUCGUUCACUUAAAGAUUGAUCCGCGCCGCAUUAAUUAGUUGGUAAGGUAACGGCUUACCAAGGCAACGAUUCUUAGCCGACCCGAGAGGGUCAUCGCCCAGACUGGAAGUGAGACAGAGUCCCGACUCCUAGAGUAGGCAACAGUAGGGACUCUUCCGCAAUGCACGAAAGCCUGACGGAGCAACGCCGCGUGAGUCAUGAUGGUCUUCGGAUCGGAGAACUCUGUUAUUAGGAAAGAUCUAAUGUGUAAGUAACUAUGCAGGUAUUGACGGUACCUAAUCAGAAAGCCACGGCUAACUACGUG
rnacentral:rRNA from 1 species